UUGGUUUUUUGUACAUUUACUUGAAAUUGUUGGUUUCCCUUUGUAUAGAUUAUUCGCUGAUGUAAGACUAACGGCUUACAGCACUAAGGCUAUGGGAGAUUCAUAAUCGAUAAUUCAAAUCGAUACAAAAACGACGCUGCAGAUGAUCAAUAAUCAAUUGCUUGACUUCUUAUGCAGAUUUGGUAAUGAUUUAGUUAUUAUAACAAAGGCAGACGUAUGUACAUGUUUAUUUUCUUUUUUUAUCGAACCAAUGCUAAUCUUUGCUACACAAUUGCUAUACAGCAAUGUACAAAUAACUUAUUGAGUGUAUGGAAGCUUUGAAUAUUAUAUUCCAAUUAUGUAGUUAAAUAUUUGUGCAUACGUGUUGCUUCAAUUAUUAUCGAAUAAAGUAUAACUUUUAGAUUAUUAGAAUACCAAUUUUUAUCUUUAUUUUAUAUCGACAAACAACGUAAGAACAAAUUGUGAUAUUGAAUAUUUUAUUACAGAUUGUUUGUAACCUGCACUUGUGCCAUGGGUUUCGAUGGUUUCUGUUCGAUGACGUCAUUGAUAAUGAUUUUCUGGGCUAUCACGAUCAACAUCGAUGACAGUUCUUCGCAUCUGUGGCAUGGCUGUUUAAAAAGAAGAAGGAGAAAAAGAAAGUCGGGUAGAGACUUGUAUCUAAAAGACUGGAAAUAGCUGGUCUUCCGAUCAAAUAAAAGGAGUCGAGCCGGCGUCUAAAAACUACCGAAGGGCACACGCGAUCGAAGAAUUCAGCUGUCAGACUAUAAAUCGCCGAGCUUUCUUUGUAUUCAGGAAAUUUAUUUCAACAUUUUUCCCUU